AGUGAACGCUGGCGGUAGGCCUAACACAUGCAAGUCGAACGGCAGCACAGUAAGAGCUUGCUCUUACGGGUGGCGAGUGGCGGACGGGUGAGGAAUACAUCGGAAUCUACUUUUUCGUGGGGGAUAACGUAGGGAAACUUACGCUAAUACCGCAUACGACCUACGGGUGAAAGCAGGGGAUCUUCGGACCUUGCGCGUUUGAAUGAGCCGAUGUCGGAUUAGCUAGUUGGCGGGGUAAAGGCCCACCAAGGCGACGAUCCGUAGCUGGUCUGAGAGGAUGAUCACCCACACUGGAACUGAGACACGGUCCAGACUCCUACGGGAGGCAGCAGUGGGGAAUAUUGGACAAUGGGCGCAAGCCUGAUCCAGCCAUACCGCGUGGGUGAAGAAGGCCUUCGGGUUGUAAAGCCCUUUUGCUGGGAAAGAAAAGCAGCAGGUUAAUACCCCGCUGUUCUGACGGUACCCAAAGAAUAAGCACCGGCUAACUUCGUG
rnacentral:rRNA from 1 species